GGGGCUGACUGGUUUUGACAGCAAGGAAGUGGGUAUGUAAGCACGCCGGGCAUUGAGGAUAAGGCCCGUUAACAACCAUCUUCACAGCCAAUAACUGGCAACUACGAAUACCAGCUGGCAGCCUAAGCAGAAGCUUAGCGCCCCCAGCCGUCUCCCGGGAAGCCCUGAUCGGCGGCGUUCCGAGUGAGGCGUCGAAAAAGCCGAAAUAGUUGCUGCAGGGUCCCGAUGCAGUGGCGAAAACAAGGGAAUACGGAAGUCAUAGGUAGGCCUCAGGCCAGUGGUUCUCCCGACAAUCAAUGAGAGGCUAAGCG
rnacentral:tmRNA from 1 species